GAUGAACGCUGGCGGUAUGCUUAACACAUGCAAGUCGAACGGUACCUUCGGGUAUAGUGGCGGACGGGUGAGUAACGCGUGAGAAUCUAUCUUCAGGUCGGGGACAACAGUUAGAAAUGACUGCUAAUACCGGACGUGCCGAAAGGUAAAAGAUUUAUUGCCUGAAAAAGAGCUCGCGUCAGAUUAGCUAGUAGGUGGUGUAAGAGACUACCUAGGCUUCGAUCUGUAGCUGGUCUGAGAGGACGAUCAGCCACACUGGAACUGAGACACGGUCCAGACUCCUACGGGAGGCAGCAGUGGGGAAUUUUCCGCAAUGGGCGAAAGCCUGACGGAGCAAUACCGCGUGAGGGACGAAGGCUCUUGGGUCGUAAACCUCUUUUCUCAAGGAAGAUUCAGACGGUACUUGAGGAAUAAGCAUCGGCUAACUCUGUG
rnacentral:rRNA from 1 species